rfam:Triticum aestivum genome assembly, contig: Triticum_aestivum_CS42_TGACv1_scaffold_592079_7BS
AAAGUACCCCCUCCGUUCAGAAUUACUUGUCGCGGAUAUGGAUGUAUCUAGAUGUACUUUAGUUCUAGAUACAUCCAUUUCCGAGACAAGUAAUUCUGAAUGGAGGGAGUAGUAC